rnacentral:rRNA from 1 species
CAUAUCAAUAAGCGGAGGAAAAGAAACUAACAAGGAUUCCCCUAGUAACGGCGAGUGAAGCGGGAAGAGCUCAAGCUUAAAAUCUCCGUGCAAGUUUUGCGCGGCGAAUUGUAGUCUAUAGAGGCGUGGUCAGCGUGGGCGCUUGGGGCAAGUUCCUUGGAAGAGGACAGCAUGGAGGGUGAUACUCCCGUUCAUCCCUGAGUGGCUCGUGCGUACGACCCGUGUUCUUUGAGUCGCGUUGUUUGGGAAUGCAGCGCAAAGUAGGUGGUAAAUUCCAUCUAAAGCUAAAUAUUGGUGCGAGACCGAUAGCGAACAAGUACCGUGAGGGAAAGAUGAAAAGAACUUUGAAAAGAGAGUUAAAGAGUACCUGAAACUGCUGAAAGGGAACCGAAUCGUUUCCAGUGUCUAUAAUCCGUGGCAUAUUUCAUUGGCGAGUGUGUGCGUGCGUGCGCUGUGGCAGUGGCUUUUUUGGCUGCGCUCGGUGCGUGUGUUGUGCGUGCUUGCUGGUGCCCUGUGCUGCGGUGGGACGUCAAGGUCAGUUCGUAUGCUGCGGGAAAUGGCUGCCGAGGAGGUAGGGCUUACGCUCUGCGUUUGUCUAUUAUAUCUUGGUGGACGAGUCGUCGCGGUUGGGACUGAGGUGCCUACAACGUGCUUUUGAGUGGGUGUGUGUCUCCGUGUGCGCCGUGUGCGGAUAGCUUGCUAUGCGUGUGUGGUUGUGUGUGGAUUGAUGCGUGCCUUAACUUGUCGCCGUUCGGGACGUUGACGAAAUGGAGCGAUCCGAC